rnacentral:rRNA from 1 species
GUCUGCAGCCAUACCACCCCGAACACUCCUGAUUUGUCUGAUCUCGGAAGCUAAGCAGGGACAGGCCUGUUCAGUACUUGGAUGGGAGGAAUACCUAUUCAUACAGUGC